CCCAAAUCAAUGAAAUCACAGCCCUAGUCCCUGCCCCCAUCAUUCUUUCCCCCUAACCUCUACAACAAACAAGAGUGCAUUUCCUUUUCAAAAAUAAUUUUUGCUGUUAUUCUGUACUCGGCAAACCCCAAUUAGUAUGAACAUUCCCAACUGCAAAGAGAAAGGGGAUCGUACUUGAAUGUCUAUUACAACAACUUGCUUUAACAAAACAACGUAUAACGGCUGACCAAAUUAUGGCAUAUGAAUAUGAGAGAGAACUGAGGAGGGCAAUGGUUUUAGAGAAGCCUGAGAAGACUUGUAUCAACCGAGGCAGUGAAGCGAAUAGAACCAGGAGGACAACUGCUACUGUAGCAGCAACAUUGUAAAAAUGAGCCACUUUGAAAGCCUUUAAGCUCAUUAACUCAAAAACCAACCAUGAUUCCAGAGGAUCUAAGAUGAAGGAUCUCUUGAGAGAAAGACGAUGGAGUAAUACGCAGAGGGGGAUGAACGUUUUUGGAUAUGCCCUAGAUGGGAAUUGGUUUUGCUUGACUAUGCUUAUUGGUACAGGGUUCUUUUUUGGGGGGCAGGAGGGGAAGUAGGAAGGAGAAAAAGUUUGAUAAUUAAAAAAAGUAAAUUGAAUUUUAAAAAUUACUUUAUUAGAUGUUAGUUUUAAAGAUGCCCUGCUUGUUUGUAUCUCCCUCCAAACUUCUGUCCAUUCUUUUUUCUUUAAACGUUUUGAAGAUCCCUUUUUUUCCUUUUUUUUUUUUGACCUCACUAUCAUUCACCCUGUCUCCUAACCCCACCCCAAUUAAAGCUGAACCGGAGGGUGGGAAGGCUCCUCUUUGGGGUUGUGGUGGAGAAAGCCUAGAGUCAGGAGUGGAGCCUGGAGAAGAAGAGGACACGGCUAGCCCUGGUAUUUUCCUUCAAAUUAGGGAAAGGGGCUGCAGGGGAAGGGAACUUCUGAUGAUACUGUUGCAUGGCCGUCACUCUUUACACUUUGCAUUAGUUCGUCCCAGUCUCCCCCGCAUCUUUGUAUUCAUCAUAUGCAGAGUAAGAUUACAGCAGAAUAAGAUUCAUCACAAUGGGUUACCAGAAAAUGUUGGGGUCCAGCAGCUGAGGGUCAGUGGGGUUGGGCCUGAUGUUGCAAGUGACCCGUGA
rnacentral:lncRNA from 1 species